GGAAGAGUGUUCAGUUUAAACGACAAGCCUGUGGUGCAUAAAAUUUGGCUGCCGAAUGAGGAAUGCCCCAGAUUGGCAAUGUCUAGAGCCUUUGGGGACUACUUUAUUAAGGAUUUUGGACUUAUAUCCGUCCCUGAAGUGAGGUGUUGUCACAUAUAACCAGCAGAGACCAAUUUGUUGUGUUGCGAACCGAUGAGUCUUCCCGCUAGGGGCUGGGAAGAGAUAACAACGGGAGCGUCGAUUGCAUGGCUAUCAAGUACAUCAAAUUUGAAUUGGACACAAAAAUGUCGCGAUUCCCUCUCUCCGAUCAGAAACUUCGAAGGCAAAAUUUGUGCGAAAAAGUAUGUGUUUCCAUCUGCUUGUGUGUGUUUAUGUAUGUUCGCCAACCAAUUGAUAUUUUCGGCUUUCUGUUUCGUUGCAAUGAAUUCAAGAAAACGAGAAAAGUUUAAAUUCUUUUAGCUUUUGUAUCGAAUUCCUUUUGAUUUUCUUUCUUUUGUUUGUCUUCGUGAAUUUGUUGGACUUUUGGAUUUACUGUGAACUACGGUUUCUUCGUCUACUAUUUGAAUGUUUCUUUUUUUUAGACGAUAUCUAGUGUUGUUUGCAAUAUCUUUAGAUUUUUGUGGUUGAUGUUCCCAUUAAUUUCUUGGAUUUUGAUUUUUUUUCACGUAAGGGUUUCUUUAGCAUAUUUGGAUGGUUUAUUGUCUACGAAUAUGAGUUUUCAGGAAUUUAGGGUUUAUUUGUUCAACUUGUAUAGAUUCUGCACGACUAUAAUUUUUGACAUCAUUAGAUAAUUUUUUGGAUGGUUUGGAUUUCCAUGGGAUUCAACAUGAAGAUUCAGGGAAAACACACUCAAUAUGUUUUUGUUUCUAUUUGUAUAAAUUUGGAUUUACGUAGUUCUUUCUUUAUUCAGAGAAAUAGACCCAAUAAAGUUUAAAUAAUCAAUAGGUCCCAU